rnacentral:misc_RNA from 1 species
AAAGUCGUAACAAGGUAACCGUAGGUGAACCUGCGGUUGGAUCAUUAACAAUAAGUUUAAAAUCUCUGGGUUAGCUAGUUUUGCAAAGCCCAGAAUUUUCGACACAUUUUGUGAACUGUAUUUGUCUCUGGCGGGAGGGAUAGAAUUCAUCUAUGAACUGGUUUUAUCUGUCAGCUUGGUUUUGGCUGAGCCGUGGACAACCCGCCAACCAAUUGCAUAAACUUAAUAUUAUUUUAUGUCUAACAUUCUUUGUAUGAAAUUACAAACAACUUUUGGCAACGGAUCUCUUGGCUCUC